CCCUGCCAUUUGUACACACCGCCCGUCGCACCUACCGAUUGGAUGGUCCGGUGAAGCCUCGGGAUUGUGACCGGUGCCUUUACUGGUGUCGGUCGCGAGAACUUGUCUAAACCUUAUCAUCUAGAGGAAGGUGA
rnacentral:rRNA from 1 species